rnacentral:rRNA from 1 species
CGGUGAGUAACGCGUAUGCAACCUACCUACUACAGGGGAAUAACCCGGAGAAAUUCGGACCAAUACCGCAUAAUACAGGGGUCCCGCAUGGGAAUAUUUGUUAAAGAUUUAUCGGUAGUAGAUGGGCAUGCGUUCCAUUAGCCAGUUGGUGAGGUAACGGCUCACCAAAGCAACGAUGGAUAGGGGAACUGAGAGGUUUAUCCCCCACACUGGAACUGAGACACGGACCAG